rfam:Caenorhabditis brenneri strain PB2801 C_brenneri-6.0.1_Cont21.21, whole genome shotgun sequence.
AGCUGAUUUAUUUUCUGGUUAUGAAUCUACAAAUAGCGUCCAUAACCGUUAUCAAUCAGCUCU